AGUGAACGCUGGCGGUAGGCCUAACACAUGCAAGUCGAACGGCAGCACAGUAAGAUCUUGCUCUUACGGGUGGCGAGUGGCGGACGGGUGAGGAAUACAUCGGAAUCUACUUUUUCGUGGGGGAUAACGUAGGGAAACUUACGCCAAUAUCGCAUACGACCUACGGGUGAAAGCAGUGGAACUUCGCACCUUGCGCGGUUGAAUGAGCCGAUGUCGGAUUAGCUAGUUGGCGGGGUAAAGGCCCACCAAGGCGACGAUCGGUAGCUGGUCUGAGAGGCUGAUCAGCCACCCUGGAACGUAGACACGCUCCAGACUCCUACGGGAGGCAGCAGUGGGGAAUAUUGGACAAUGGGCGCAAGCCUGAUCCAGCCAUACCGAGUGGGUGAAGAAGGCCUUCGGGUCGUAAAGCCCGUUUGUUGGGAAAGAAAAGCAGCAGGUUAAUACCCAGCUGUAGUGACGGUACCCAAAGAAUAAGCACCGGCUAACUUCGUG
rnacentral:rRNA from 1 species